rnacentral:rRNA from 1 species
UGGGGGAAUUUUUGGACAAUGGGCGAAAGCCUGAUCCAGCAAUGCCGCGUGUGUGAAGAAGGCCUUCGGGUUGUAAAGCACUUUUGUCCGGAAAGAAAUCCUUGGCUCUAAUACAGUCGGGGGAUGACGGUACCGGAAGAAUAAGCACCGGCUAACUACGUGCCAGCAGCCGCGGUAAUACGUAGGGUGCAAGCGUUAAUCGGAAUUACUGGGCGUAAAGCGUGCGCAGGCGGUUUGCAAGACCGAUGUGAAAUCCCCGGGCUCAACCUGGGAACUGCAUUGGUGACUGGCAGGCUAGAGUAUGGCAGAGGGGGGUAGAAUUCCACGUGUAGCAGUGAAAUGCGUAGAGAUGUGGAGGAAUACCGAUGGCGAAGGCAGCCCCCUGGGCCAAUACUGACGCUCAUGCACGAAAAGCGUGGGGGAGCAAACAGGAUUAGAUACCCUGGUAGUCCACGCCCUAAAACGAUGUCAACUAGUUGUUGGGGAUUCAUUUCCUUAGUAACGUAGCUAACGCGUGAAGUUGACCGCCUGGGGGAGU